AGGUGGAUUAAGGAAAUCUUCAUAUUGUCUACAGCAUUUGCUUAUCACAUGGCCAGCAGUGGAUGUUUUAUGGCCUGCCUGUACUGGCAAGAAGAGAAGCAGGAACAGAAGGAUGAGUAUGCAGUGGCAGUAGCAACGAUGCCAUCAAACAUCAGAUAAUACAGCAAUGUGCAUCGCACAUCCAAGGAAUCAAGUGUCCUUUCUAACAGCGUUUCUGGGUUUUGAAAGAAAGUAAGUAGCAUUGUAUCUUCAUUUAUAUGGAAUUCUGCCAGCACUUUUGGCCG